rnacentral:lncRNA from 1 species
GUUUGUAUAAAAAUAGAAAUGGAAUAUUUUGGUAAUGUGUUAAGUACCCGAAUGGUUAUCAUUGAUAUUGAAAUCUGCAGAACGGAGUAAAACUACUCAUUUAUGUUCCUGGUUCCUGCUACUUUUAUAAAGGAGAUAAAGAAAAUCUUCUCACCAUAUUUUCAAAUAGGACUGGUGAAGAUGCUGAAGAAAUGCAGUAGUACUAUCUUGUGUGUAAAUCCUUGAUUUUGUGUAAUUUAUAAAAUUGGAAGCAAUAUGAUAAAUAUGACUAAUAAGGAUUGUGUCUUUAUAAAAAAAUAUAUCACAGUAUGCAAACUACAAGUACGAGCAUUAAAUCUCAGAAAUGUUUACCACUGUUUUUUUUUGGUUUUAUUCCAUGGAUUUAAUGGAUUGUAGAUGUAGACCCUCUACAUCUUCAUUACCACUUGAAAGUCAACCAGAAUCAUCUCAUUCAAGUGGUAUCACAUCAAGUAGUGCACAACAAGACACAGAAAUGUAUUUUCUUAAAUAAGAGAAUACUCGGCUGAAACUAAAAUUAGAAAAUUUGGCAAAUAUAGAUUUCCAUCACAGCAUAUCAAGAACGAUCAUAAUUUAGUGAAAGUGUACAUGGGAAUAACAACUACUGUAUAUUGAAAUAUUGUUUAAUAUUUAAUAUGCUAAGUAAUAUUCAGUUAGAAUAUUAUCAUGGAUCAUGGAUGGGUGAAAUAUCACAGUUUUAACAAAAAAAGGAAUGUGUUGUAUUUUGUACGCACCUUAGAAGUUAUACUUCUAUUAUAUGAUUUCAAUGAA